GGGGAUAUGGCGAAAUUGGUAGACGCUACGGACUAAAAUCCGUCGACUUUAAAAUCGUGAGGGUUCAAGUCCCUCUAUCCCCA
rnacentral:tRNA from 1 species